UGAGUUUGAUCCUGGCUCAGAACGAACGCUGGCGGCAGGCCUAACACAUGCAAGUCGAGCGCUACCUUCGGGUGGAGCGGCGGACGGGUUAGUAACGCGUGGGAACAUACCCUUUUCUAAGGAAUAGCCACUGGAAACGGUGAGUAAUACCUUAUAAGCCCUUCGGGGGAAAGAUUUAUCGGUAAAGGAUUGGCCCGCGUUAGAUUAGAUAGUUGGUGGGGUAAUGGCCUACCAAGUCUACGAUCUAUAGCUGAUUUGAGAGGAUGAUCAGCCACAUUGGGACUGAGACACGGCCCAAACUCCUACGGGAGGCAGCAGUGGGGAAUCUUGCACAAUGGAGGAAACUCUGAUGCAGCGAUGCCGCGUGAGUGAAGAAGGCCCUUGGGUUGUAAAGCUCUUUCGUCGGGGAAGAAAAUGACUGUACCCGAAUAAGAAGGUCCGGCUAACUUCGUGCCAGCAGCCGCGGUAAUACGAAGGGACCUAGCGUAGUUCGGAAUUACUGGGCUUAAAGAGUUCGUAGGUGGUUGAAAAAGUUGGUGGUGAAAUCCCAGAGCUUAACUCUGGAACUGCCAUCAAAACUUUUCAGCUAGAGUAUGAUAGAGGAAAGCAGAAUUUCUAGUGUAGAGGUGAAAUUCGUAGAUAUUAGAAAGAAUACCAAUUGCGAAGGCAGCUUUCUGGAUCAUUACUGACACUGAGGAACGAAAGCAUGGGUAGCGAAGAGGAUUAGAUACCCUCGUAGUCCAUGCCGUAAACGAUGUGUGUUAGACGUUGGAAAUUUAUUUUCAGUGUCGCAGGGAAACCGAUAAACACACCGCCUGGGGAGUACGACCGCAAGGUUAAAACUCAAAUGAAUUGACGGGGACCCGCACAAGUAGUGGAGCAUGUGGUUUAAUUCGAAGAUACGCGCAGAACCUUACCAACACUUGACAUGUUCGUCGCGACUCUAAGAGAUUAGAGUUUUCGGUUCGGCCGGACGAAACACAGGUGCUGCAUGGCUGUCGUCAGCUCGUGUCGUGAGAUGUUGGGUUAAGUCCCGCAACGAGCGCAACCCUCACUUUUAGUUGCCAUCAUUAAGUUGGGCACUCUGAAAGAACUGCCAGUGAUAAGCUGGAGGAAGGUGGGGAUGACGUCAAGUCCUCAUGGCCCUUACGUGUUGGGCUACACACGUGCUACAAUGGCAUCUACAACAGGAAGCAAAACGGCAACGUUAAGCAAAUCCCGAAAAGAUGCCUCAGUUCGGAUUGCACUCUGCAACUCGAGUGCAUGAAGCUGGAAUUACUAGUAAUCGUGGAUCAGCGUGCCACGGUGAAUGCGUUCCCGGGUCUUGUACACACCGCCCGUCACACCAUGGGAGUUGGUUCUACCUUAAGGCAAGGUUUUAAACCCUUGACCACGGUAUAGUCAGCGACUGGGGUGAAGUCGUAACAAGGUAACC
rnacentral:rRNA from 1 species